ACUCAAAGGAAUUGACGGGGGCCCGCACAAGCGGUGGAGCAUGUGGCUUAAUUCGAUGCAACGCGAAGAACCUUACCUAGCCUUGACAUGCACUAGACGUACGCUGAAAGGCGUAUUCCCUUCGGGGCUGGUGCACAGGUGCUGCAUGGCUGUCGUCAGCUCGUGUCGUGAGAUGUUGCGUUAAGUCGCGCAACGAGCGCAACCCCUGUCCUUAGUUGCCAUCAUUAAGUUGGGCACUCUAGGGAGACAAACCCUCUAUGAGGGUGGGAAGGUGGGGAUGACGUCAAGUCAGGAUGGCCCUUACGGCUAGGGCUGCACACGUGCUACAAUGCCUGGUACAGAGGGACGCAAAACCGCGAGGUGGAGCAAAUCCUCAAAACCAGGCCCAGUUCAGAUUGUAGUCUGCAACUCGACUACAUGAAGUUGGAAUCGCUAGUAAUGGCGUAUCAGCUACGACGCCGUGAAUACGUUCCCGGGCCUUGCACACACCGCCCGU
rnacentral:rRNA from 1 species